rnacentral:ncRNA from 24 species
CUUUAUAUUGUUGGAUCUGGUGCGCUUUCUGCGCAUAAUAGAGAAAUCGGUGUAACUCCGAUACGAUCCCGUCGCUGUAAUGAUGAGCGGACCUUAAAAACCACUGGGUUGAAACCUGGGAAGGGAAGGCGAGCAAUGAAUCAGAGUCAGAAGAACUGCCAGAUCUUUGUACGUUCCC